UACGUAGGGGGCAAGCGUUGUCCGGAAUCAUUGGGCGUAAAGCGCGUGUAGGCGGCUUGGUAAGUCUGCUCUGAAAGCCCGGGGCUCAACCCCGGGAGGCGGGUGGAUACUGUCAAGCUCGAGUCCGGAAGAGGAGUGUGGAAUUCCUGGUGUAGCGGUGAAAUGCGCAGAUAUCAGGAGGAACACCAAUGGCGAAGGCAGCACUCUGGGACGUGACUGACGCUGAGACGCGAAAA
rnacentral:rRNA from 1 species